rnacentral:rRNA from 1 species
GAUGAACGCUAGCGGCAGGCUUAACACAUGCAAGUCGAGGGGUAUAGUUCUUCGGAGCUAGAGACCGGCGCACGGGUGCGUAACGCGUAUGCAAUCUACCUUUUGCAGAGGGAUAGCCCAGAGAAAUUUGGAUUAAUACCUCAUAGUAUGUGAGAAUGGCAUCAUUUUCACAUUAAAGUCACAACGGCAAAAGAUGAGCAUGCGUCCCAUUAGCUUGUUGGUAAGGUAACGGCUUACCAAGGCAACGAUGGGUAGGGGUCCUGAGAGGGAGAUCCCCCACACUGGUACUGAGACACGGACCAGACUCCUAUGGGAGGCAGCAGUGAGGAAUAUUGGACAGUGGGCGCAAGCCUGAUCCAGCCAUGCCGCGUGCAGGAUGACGGUCCUAUGGAUUGUAACUGCUUUUGUACAGGAAGAAACACUGGUUCGUGAACCAGCUUGACGGUACUGUAAGAAUAAGGAUCGGCUAACUCCGUGCCAGCCGCCGCGGUAAAAC